CAGAUUUCUACAAAGUCAAGCUGUGGUGCCGAGACAACGUCGUUUAGUUAUUUAAGAUUAUCCUGUCCAUAUCAAUGAGGCAUUGUUGAUUCAUUACAUUUAAAAAUCCUUCGGAUGUCUUACUCCAGCAUCUACUUACCAGAAACUUAUUGAGAAGCAGAAAUAACCAACGGCAGCUGCAAUGUUCACUUGAUGUUUAACAGAAUUCUUUUAAAUUGAUU